rnacentral:rRNA from 1 species
AGAAAUUUAAUAUAUAAUAUUAAAGUAGUAGUAGUUAAGGUCUUGAAAUUUAAAAAAUUUGGCGGUAUUUUAGUCUAUUCAGAGGAACCUGUUUAAUGAUCGAUAUUCCACGAUGAAUCUCACUUAGACUUGUAGUAUUAGUUUAUAUAUCGUUGUCUAUUGAAUAUUUUUUAAAAAUGAUAAUUUUCAUAAUUUUUUAUUAAAGUGUAUAUCAGAUCAAGAUGUAGCUGAUGUCUAAGGUUAAAAUGGGUUACAAUGAAAUUAUUUGUUGGAUUUACCUUGAAAUAGUUAGUUGAAAUUGGAUUUGAAAGUAAAUUUAUAAAGAUUAAUGAUUUGAUUUUAGCUCUAAAAUAUG